rnacentral:pre_miRNA from 1 species
AUUUGCAUCUAUGCAUGCAUGCGUGCAUGUGCAUGUGUAUGUGAGUAUAUGUGAUAUGUAUGCCACAUACAUG